rnacentral:rRNA from 1 species
UACGUAGGGUGCGAGCGUUGUCCGGAAUUAUUGGGCGUAAAGAGCGUGUAGGCGGCCAGACAGGUCCGUUGUGAAAACUCGAGGCUCAACCUCGAGAUGUCGAUGGAAACCGUCUGGCUAGAGUCCGGAAGAGGAGUGUGGAAUUCCUGGUGUAGCGGUGAAAUGCGCAGAUAUCAGGAGGAACACCUAUUGCGAAGGCAGCUCGCUGGGACGUAACUGACGCUGAGACGCGAAAGCGUGGGGAGCAAACAGG